rnacentral:misc_RNA from 1 species
GAUGAAGAACGCAGCGAAAUGCGAUACUUGGUGUGAAUUGCAGAAUCCCGUGAACCAUCGAGUCUUUGAACGCAAGUUGCGCCUCAAGCCAUUAGGUUGAGGGCACGUCUGCCUGGGCGUCACAUACCGUUGCCUGAUGCCAGUUUCCUCGUGAUGGGUGACUGUGCAGGGCGAAUGAUGGCUUCCCGUGAGCAUUGUUGCCUCAUGGUUGGUUGAAAAUUGAGUCCUUGGUAGGGAGCGCCGUGAUAGAUGGUGGUUGAGUGACGAACGAGACCCAAUCAUGUGAGACCCCUACCGAAUUUGGCCUUCAUGACCCACAUGCGUCUUUGGAACGCUCAUGACGAGACCUCAGGUCAGGCGGGGCUACCCGCUGAGUUUAAGCAUAUCAAUAAGCGGAGGA